UACAGAGGUCUCAACCGUUGUUCGGAUUCAUUGGGCGUAAAGGGUGCGUAGGCGGUCGUGCAAGUCGGAUGUGAAAUCUCAGGGCUCAACCCUGAAACUGCAUUCGAUACUGCGCGGCUAGAGUGCUGGAGGGGAGACUGGAAUUUACGGUGUAGCAGUGAAAUGCGUAGAUAUCAAGAGGAACACCAGUGGCGAAGGCGAGUCCCUGGACGAUACCUGACACUGAGGCACGAAAGCCAAGGGAGCAAACAGG
rnacentral:rRNA from 1 species